ACUUUACAUAUAAAAUAUAAUAUUUAAUUUUGUUGUAUAAAAAAUUUUAUGUUGAUUUUGUUGUGCUGGGGCGGCUUUAAUAAAAAAAAAUAACUGUAAAUAAAUAAAAAUAUAACUAUAUAGUUUAAAGGAUCCUUUAAUAAGGAUUAAAAGAUAAAGUU
rnacentral:rRNA from 1 species